GGAGGGGUGGGUGAGCGGUUUAAACCACCGGUCUUGAAAACCGGCGUCCACUGACCGUGGACCGCGAGUUCGAAUCUCGCCCCCUCCGCCA
rnacentral:tRNA from 1 species